CUGACACCGCUCCGCACCGCCUGACACCUCCCCGAACAGCCUGAUACCGCCCCGCCCCGCACCGCCUGACACCGCACCGCACCGCCUGACACCGCACCGCCCCGCACCGCCCCUCAGCCUGAGCCCCCUGAGCUUAGCGCUGGGUCUGGGCUUUUCUCCGCGCUGGGGCCCGGCCUGGGCUUUUCCUGGAGCUUGUGCCCGGGCCCUGCGCUGCCCCUGCGGCAGGGCUGGGGUUGGGUCUGCGCUGGGGCCUGGGCUGGGGAUUUCUCCUAAAUCUGGGUCUGAGCUAAGCCUGAGAUUCAGCCCUGGGUUGGGCCAUGCCCUGCACCCCUCAGUAAUCCCCGGAGCCUCCGCAGCCGCUGGUGGUUGGGGCAGGGAGGGCAGAGUGUGGGGUCCCGCAAGCGAAGGGCAGGGGUAUCCGCAAAGCUCCCAGCCUCGUUAAUUAAGAAGGUGAUUUCACCCCGAGGGCUGUGUUGUUCUCCUCUCCUUCCUUCAAAAGCAAGACUAGAAUAAAAGCAGCAAGAAUUAGCUCGUUUGGGAUGAAGCAACCACCUCUGAGCAGGACUAAGCUGGUUGGGUCUGACUGGGGUCAGAUGGCAUUGAGCUGCUGCCUUUCUCCUGGGGCUUGGGGACACAAUGCUGCCCGGUGAAAGCAGGUGCUGGACCAGAAAUGCUGCUCCUGGCAUGUUCAAGGCUGGCAUGUUUUGCAGAGGAAGAACCUGUCUGGUAUGAGCUGGUCCCUAUCCUGGUGGAACCCCCAGUUCACAAGGUGAGGAUCCCCCUCACCUCCCCAUUGCUGGGCAGAAGGCAGAUUCCAGCAUCCACAGCUGCCCCUGCUGCAUCUCUCAGCAGCUUUGGGAGUUUUCCUGAGUCUGCUGGCACUUUGAGGCCAUUCCUGGGAGCUGCUGGGUGACUGCCCACCACUAGCAGACAAUCAGGUGCUUCCCAACUGGGGUUUCCACGGGGUUGGCAUGAUGGAAAUGCACCAUGGGCACCAAGCAGAGUUCCUGUGGGGCUUGGGGACAGCCAGCUAUGUUUCCACAGCCCCUCAAGUGCUCUCAUCUGAUGCCCCACCAACAGCCUUUCAGUUGCUGCUGUUAAUCUCCCUUUUCUGGAUCUUGAGAGACAAACUGUGGUUCCAGCCCUGCUGCCUGGGGAUGCUGAACACUGACUCUGGGACGUGGAGGACUGGGUUGAGCUUGACCCAGGUGCAGCCAAGGCAAGUUUCCCCCCAAAAUCUGGCAAGUUCAAGUGGUAUAUAUUGAGGGUGGGUCAGUUCUGGGAGAGGAACAGCACCAUGUUCCCAUGGCACCCUCUCCAUCCUGGGAGCAUCACCAACAUCCAGCAGCCAAGGAGAGACAGGCAGGUGAGGGAGGUGGGGAUGAGCUCAGACCCAUCGAGGUGUCCAUGGAAGUGGGGUGUGCAAGCUCAGCACCACAGGUGUCUGCCCAAAGAGGGU